rnacentral:lncRNA from 1 species
AAACAAUAAUGAUGCUUGGGUCCCACCUGGAGAUUCUGAUACGGUUGGUCUGGCAGCGGGGCCUAGGAGUUGGGAGUAUUAAAAUCUCAGGUGAUCUUAAUGCAGUCAAGAAGACCCACUCCCACGGGUUAGAUUGUUUGCUUAAUUUGCAUCCUAUCAGGAGGCAGGUAAUGUCACACUGAUCCAUUGUUUGUGAUGCUAAACUCAGUCACUGGAUUGAGGUGGUCACCACCAGACCUCUCCAUCACAAAGGAGGCCUCUCCAUGGCUCUCCUUUGUAAAGGUGGCUUGAAUGAAUAGCAGACUUGGGGGGAGGAUGGAUGCAAGGAGGACAGACGUUCCAGCUGGAGAGAAAGGGAUAAACAGAUGGGAGCAGAGAACAAAUACAGAUGAAUGCUUGAGAAUUUUCUUGAUCCUGACGGAUGAUUCGGUUACUUUGAAGCAGCUUUAUUCAUUGGAUUGAGUAAGCUCCCUUCCUUCCGUUCCUCCAACCGGUCAUCGGUCCUCAAACAUUCAGCGUCUCCUACUGCUUUUACAGCCUAAAUAAAAGUGCCCCUUGGGAAAAGAGACCCCAGCAGCAUUCUCAAGGUAGCUUUCCCUCUGAGGGGACUUCAGCUGUGUGAAGAAAGCAAAAAGGUGAAACUUUGAGAAGGUGGAGGAAUUUUGCAGAGGAUGUUAGGACAAUGACUCAGGGUGGCCUAGGCUCUGCGUACCUAGAUAUUCCCUCAUGUGGAAGGAAAACACUUGUGUCUUCUCUAUUAACGAGAGACUUGCAAAGUACCAGGACACCUUGGGGAGCAGAGAUGGAAUGGCCUCUUCAUAAAGGAAAGAGCCAGCUCUUCCCAGGGGUCUGACCUUUGGGUGCUUCAGAAACAUAGAUGGUGUGAGGUUGAAAAGACAGGGAGAUUCUUGGACACCACUUCACGCACGCGCACACACACACACUCACUCACUCUUCUGUCCUGUUGCUUGUUCCUCAAAUGACUGAACCUCACGGGAGUGAAGGAUAUAAACUUAAUUCAAGUUUUGCCACUUACUUAUUAUAUUGCUCUCAAUUUCUAGUUCCUAUACCUUUCUGGGCCUCUUGACUGUGAAAUAAGAUAUUUAUUCUAUAUCAGAGUUGUUUAGACUAAUAAAUUAAUCUUCAACUACUAUAUUAAA